rnacentral:rRNA from 1 species
AGUCUUAUGGACCUAUUAAAUAUAAGAUAUCUUCUGCCCGGUGACUCUUCUUUAACGGCUGCAGUACUUUGACUGUACUAAGGUAGCAUAAUCAAUUGGCCUUUAAUUGUGGUCUAGAAUAAAAGGAUGAAAUGGGGUUAAACUGUCUCUUUUUUAUUUUUAAUAAGUUGUUUAUAAGGUGAAAAUCCCUUAAAUUAUGACAAUAGACGAGAAGACCCUUAAAGUUUUAAUAAUAAGUGGUUUAAUACAAAUCUAUCAUUUUUAUUUUUGUUGGGGUGACAAAUAAUACAAGGAUAACUUUAUUUUUCAUUAUUUACAUGAAAUUUUUAAAUAGAAAGAAUAAACUACUUAAGGGAUAACAGCAUAAUUCUUAUUUGAGAUUAUGACCUCGAUGUUGGACUAGGGACUUAAUGGUUAGAGACCAAGUUAGUGAAGUUCUGUUCGAACUAUUUACCCU